UGAGGCAAAAUUAUGAUGUUAUGGACUGAGAUUGAAUUCUGGAUGCAGUCCAUAACUUUGUGAGUUCAUAGUCUGCUUUGAUUGAGAAUUGCAGCAUGUAAUCAUAUCAAGGUAGUACAAUGUCCAGGAUUUAGUGGCGAUAUACUGUACUAAACAACGAUAUGUCAUUUAUCUAGCAACCAGUGAAAGCGAUUUUGUCAUAUCUUAUUGAAAUUACUGGACAACACUUCAGUGAUAACAGAUAUGGAGAAUGUUGCUUGAAAACAGCUGUGAGUGUUCUGGGGACAAUCUGUAAAGAUACUGCUGAUUCAGACCGCUGUGAGCUUCCACUGGACUGCCUGCAUCUGGUCAGUCUGAUUGCAGAAACUGCCGGAAGCUCUCAUCCACAGGUACGCCAUAUGUGAAGGGAAAGUAUUUUGUAUUUUGUAUUGGUCACAUACACGUGUUUAGCAGAUGUUAUUGCGGGUGUAGCUAAAUGCUUGUGCUUAU
rnacentral:lncRNA from 1 species